CUCUUUCACAGACAGAUCUCUGUUUAGGAGCAGGUCCAGGCUGGUAAAGAGGUGACGGCUGUAACUGUCCAUCAGAUGAUCUAGCAGCCCAGCAUCUUUCAGUGCAGGUGUUAAUCGAAGCACCUUAUCAUUUAUCAUGCUCUGUGUUCUCUGAAAGUCCUGUAUCUGCUCCAACUGAGAUCCCCGUGGUCCCUCUGCUGGCAGCGUGGGAAAGUGGUUCUCCACAAACUGAUUUAUUUCUUGAAGGUACUCACAAAGCCAGUCUUGAGAAUAGUUGUUAUUCAGUUUGCUCAAUGUUUUCAACACCUCAACUGCAGCAUCAAAGUCCUCAGAGGUUGAUUCAUCACUCAAAAUUGUUUUGAGAGCAUGAAGCACUCUCUUGUUAAGUGCUUCAGCAUCUAGAGCAAUGAGAUCAGGAACUCCAGAUGCCUGUUCCUCUGGUGGAAGGUUCACUGACAAAUAAGAGUGUGCAUGAUUAAAGAAAAAAAGGUAAAACAUUAAACAUUAUUUUAAAAAUCUUUAAUUAUUCAUUCAUAAAUAUCAUGUUUUGGGAAAAUUUCAUUUUAAUGUAUUUUUUAAUAAAUUACUAAACCACUAAUGUAAUCCAUUAAACCAUGCCACCAAACAAAAUGCUGAAAAACUUUAAACAAUAUUGCAUUGUAUACCGAUGGAAAGAUAUUGGCUUUUCCAACGAGAGCAAAAACACUUACUUUCAUAAAUGAGUGAGAUCAAUGUCUACAGAGAAAUAACAUGAGAGUGUCUUACCAUCUGUCUGCUCUAUUUUUUUCAUUGAAAGUUUCUUUUCUUUCCCAUUUUUUGUUUUCCUCCUGACCGAAAAGCUUGUCUUUUUCGUGUGCUUAAACUCCAUCCUUGACUGACACAAAUAAAAAGCUUCCCUGUCACACAAAAUAUAUAUGAGUAAAUAACGAGCUUGCAGGAAAAGCAGGUUUAUUACUGGAAGAUAAUGAAUAAACAUUCCAGCCAUUGGGUUGGCAGCUUACCAACUGGCUGUUUAAGGCGUUAAGGCUAUGACAGCAUUUAAGAG
ensembl:lncRNA